rnacentral:lncRNA from 1 species
GGCCAACGUCUCUCUUCUCCACGCUGCAAGGACAGAACACCCGCACCGUGACGUCGAGAGUCCAUGGCAGGCCCCUGGCCACAGCCACAGCUCACUCUGGGCUUCUGUCCUCUUCCCUGUGAAGCAGGUGCAGCUACCCCCUGAGACUGAAGUGGACGGUGUCAUUCCUGUGUCAGGAUCAGCGGUGGGACCCAUCUCCGAGUGACAGCCAGGGCUUGAGGAAGGAAUAUUUACACCAACAAUAGAAGGAAGAUCAAGAGGGAACAGCUAAGUCAUGGACUCAACAGCAAGUGUCAACCUUUCACCGCGUAAUGAAUUCUGUUUAAGGCUACCAUCAAGACGGUCCCUGUCAGCUAAGGUAGGAACUAAGAAACUAAUGAGAGCAAUCAGAUUUUUAAAUGCUUUACGUACCACUGGAAUUUAUGUCUUAAUUUAAUUGCCGAAUUCUUAAUCUGAUUAGAGCCUGUAAAGGAAUAAAAUUGGAUUUGGAAAAAAUAGAUAAAAUAAGUUUUCCUUUACAUAUUCACAAGUCAUCCCAAACUGCAUGUUUCUUAUAAGAUUAAUACAAAUGUUUUAGCUCAUUUUCAUUGCAUCCGAGCAAACACAUUAUCUCCCAGGAAACAGCAUGGAACGAUAAUAUGCAGCACAUCCAGCCAUAGAAGAAGUUCUUGAAUAUAAAGUCAUCUGGCUAAACUGCCUGGAAAUGAGCGGGGUCACAGUCACGGAGAUGAAGCUAAAUGACAUCGCGUUUCUCCCAUGGCUCCCAGGACAUGAGAUUCUCACUACCAGUGGGACCGGCUUAUGAGUCUCUGUCCACUAGAUGUUUCUCUGGCUUCUGCAGAGUGUUCCCAAAUCAUUUCAUUCACUCACCAAAUAUUUAUUCAGUGCCUACUGUGUGCCAGGCACUCACUGUUCCAGGUGCAGGGGCACCGAGGCCGAAGCGAAGAACAUUAAAGUCUCUCUGAGAUGCAGCUCCUAGUAGACAUGGCCAACUUCCCAUUGUAAACUGUGCUUCUUCAAUGUGUGAUUUUUAAAAAGAGGCUCAAAAAUGGUCUUACACAUUUAAGAGGAUGAUAUGACAAGGAAUAGGGUUAGAAAGGGGAGGUCAUAAAAUUCAGUUAGACAAGGUGAAAAGCAAGACCACAUUGGAGCACAAGAAGCAACACACAUGCAGAGACCGAGCAGAGGCCUGGAGCCACACCAGCCCCGCUCAGGGCUUCAUGUCCACUAGCUCCCUCAUCUUCCCGGCACCCGGAGAGCUGGAACCCUCCUACUACCUGCAUUCUACAGAAGCGGAGACUGAGCUCGGAGUAACUGCCUUGUCUCACACCGUCCCACACAUGGCAGCCAAGAAGAGAGCUGACCAAGGAAGUGAAGACGAAGCAGCCUGGGCCCACUGACCUGGUGGGAAGCGGGAGAGAGACAAACUGUGGCGAGCUGGAAACGCUCGGGAUCUUACUUCAGGGGCCGUUUUAAGUGGACUGCACGCAUGGUCCUUCUGUCCCCAGAGUCGAGGAUGCCACAAGCCUCUGACUCUAACACCAAGACCCGGAACCCACCACAUGAUAGAUCCAGCUGUUCCCUGAAGCAGCUAUUGAGUUUUUAGCGAUAUCUAAAAUACAAGCUCUUCUGAAGUUGGGAAAGUUAAGGCAGAGCCUUCGCAUUUUUCUCUCAUCUAGGAAGCCAGAUCUCUGUGGGGAGGGGAGAAAGCGCCGGUGGGUGGCCAAGCUCGGAGUCUGUCCUGUGUGUUCAUCGUCCCCAGUGUGGCUGGCCUGGGGCGGUCUCUCUCCACGCUGGCACUCGUCCGCUGCCUCCUCCUCUGACUGUGCUUGCAGGAGCUGUGUCCAGUGCAGAAUCAGCAGGGCCCUUCUGACAUGCUCCGGGAAGGCUGCUCAGCCCUGCCCGAGCCCACUGUGCUGGGAUGCCGGAUUCCCUCCAGCCUGCGUACUUCCUGGGAUUCGCCAGAAAGCAGACCUGGGCAGGCAGGGCCAGCCCUGGCACCUCUAGGGGGUGGGGCAGCGGCUAGGUUUUGGGUUCUGGGCGCUGAGAACAAUGGGAAGCGAUUCGAUCGCAGGCCCAAGCCACGGCCUCCACACGCCAGCAGGGCUCUGGGGCUGAGGGACAGACACAGGCCCACUCGGAGAGCAGCCUGUGUACAACUGCAUGGGCCCAGUGACCUUCCCGCCCACGCCAGCCGUGGGCUCUGGCGGUGUCUGUUCCCGGUCCGAGCAGGGACCACGGCCCUCUCAUCCACGCGAAAGAGAUCACUUGCCAAAAAGCAUGUGUUUUGCUAGGGAAAGAUGAGCAGCUUUAGUCUCGCGGAAGUGCCAUGCACUCCACCGUCGCCCGGUGCCUCUCGGCCUCAGCUCGGGUCUCCUCCGCCUCUGGCCUGCACCAUCCAGCCCUCCACACCUCCCUGGUCCUGCCAGAGUAUUCCCAAAUUCCAGGUAUUCCCAAAUCUCCUGCUUCUUCUCCCUUUCGUAAGUAGAACAAAUGAACUCUGCUCCUGAGUCACUCUGCUAUGGCUCAAAGCUAACCUGGCAAGCAGGACCCUGAGCAGUGACCAGACAGGCAGUGGGGCUGCGUUCACAGGUCGGUCUCUGCUGUCCUCACCUCCUGCCUGCCUCCCACCCUCACCUGCCUGCUAUGAGGCCUGCAGCUUCUGGCCUAGUCCUCCCACGCAGGCCAGGCUGUCCUCCCUCAGGGACGCCUCCCCAUGUCCUGCAGGAGCCACCAAGCGAGACUCCAUCGUCCUCUUCUGCCUCAGCUCCUGUGCAUCCCCAUCUGUGUGGUUGCCUCUCUGCCUAUGCAGCUGGCGAGGAGGGCCAGCCAUGCUUCCAGGAAACUCAGCCAAGAACCUCCCUGCAGACAGAGUUGCCCGGGCCAGGUCCCUGAUGACAGUCCUGAUCCUUGUCAGGAACAUGGAGACCUCGGUGUCCCAAGCCCCCUGGGUUCAGGACCCGGAGCAGCAGCGGGAGGAGGAGCAGGG